UGGGGAAUAUUGGACAAUGGGCGCAAGCCUGAUCCAGCCAUGCCGCGUGUGUGAAGAAGGUCUUCGGAUUGUAAAGCACUUUAAGUUGGGAGGAAGGGCAGUUACCUAAUACGUGAUUGUUUUGACGUUACCGACAGAAUAAGCACCGGCUAACUCUGUGCCAGCAGCCGCGGUAAUACAGAGGGUGCAAGCGUUAAUCGGAAUUACUGGGCGUAAAGCGCGCGUAGGUGGUUAGUUAAGUUGGAUGUGAAAUCCCCGGGCUCAACCUGGGAACUGCAUUCAAAACUGACUGACUAGAGUAUGGUAGAGGGUGGUGGAAUUUCCUGUGUAGCGGUGAAAUGCGUAGAUAUAGGAAGGAACACCAGUGGCGAAGGCGACCACCUGGACUGAUACUGACACUGAGGUGCGAAAGCGUGGGGAGCAAACAGGAUUAGAUACCCCCGUAGUCCCUGAGCGGGCUGGCAAGGCGCAU
rnacentral:rRNA from 1 species